AAGACCUUGCGCUUUUGGAGCGGCCGAUGCCUGAUUAGCUUGUUGGUAAGGUAAAAGCUUACCAAGGCUUCGAUCAGUAGCUGGUCUGAGAGGACGACCAGCCACACUGGGACUGAGACACGGCCCAGACUCCUACGGGAGGCAGCAGCGGGGAAUUUUGGACAAUGGGGGCAACCCUGAUCCAGCCAUGCCGCGUGAGUGAAGAAGGCCUUCGGGUUGUAAAGCUCUUUCAGCCGGAACGAAACGGUUACGGUUAAUACCCAUGACUACUGACGGUACCGGAAGAAGAAGCACCGGCUAACUACGUGCCAGCAGCCGCGGUAAUACGUAGGGUGCGAGCGUUAAUCGGAAUUACUGGGCGUAAAGCGUGCGCAGGUGGUUUUGUAAGUCAGAUGUGAAAGCCCCGGGCUCAACCUGGGAACU
rnacentral:rRNA from 1 species